GACGAACGCUGGCGGCGUGCUUAACACAUGCAAGUCGAACGAAGUGGCGAACGGGUGAGUAACGCGUAAUCAACCUGCCCUUCAGAGGGGGAUAACAGUUGGAAACGACUGCUAAUACCGCAUACUGAAGGAGGGGAUUGCGUGUGAUUAGCUCGUUGGGGGGGUAACGGCCCACCAAGGCGAAGGUCAGUAGGCGGUCUGGGAGGGUGAACCGCCACAAUGGGACUGGAGCAAGGCCCAGACUCCUACGGGAGGCAGCAGGUGGGGAUCUUCCGCAAAUGGCGGAAGUCUUACGGAGCAACGCCGCGUGGGUGAUGACGGGCUUCGGGUUGUAAAGCUCUGUUAAGCGGGACGCGGUACCGGAAUAGGAAGCCACGGCUAACUACGUGCCAGCAGCCGCGGUAAUUC
rnacentral:rRNA from 1 species